rnacentral:rRNA from 1 species
AUUGAACGCUGGCGGCAGGCCUAACACAUGCAAGUCGAGCGAGCGGCGGACGGGUGAUUAAUGUGUGGGUGCUGCCCGAUAGAGGGGGAUAACUACUGGAAACGGUAGCUAAUCCCGCAUACUAUCGGCUAACACAUAUGGGAUUAGCUGGUGGGUGGGGUAAUGUCUCACCCAGGCGACGAUCCCUAGCUGGUCUGAGAGGAUGAUCAGCCACACGGGGACUGAGACACGGCCCAGACUCCUACGGAGGCAGCAGUGGGGAAUAUUGCACAAUGGGCGAAAGCCUGAUGCAGCCAUGCCGCGUGUAUGAAGAAGGCCCUAGGGUUGUAAAGUACUUUCAGUCGGGAGGCGUUACCGACAGAAGAAGCACCGGCUAACUCCGUGCCAGCAGCCGCGGUAAUUC